GAGGGUAUAACUCAGUGGUAGAGUGCUUGCUUGGUGUGCAUGAAAUCCUGGGUUCAAUCCCCAGUAUCUCCA